rnacentral:piRNA from 1 species
UUCCCUUCACGAUAACACAUC